rnacentral:sRNA from 1 species
GUAAUUUUUUAGAGAAUAUGUAAAGAAACAAGCAAACAACUGCAGAAAAAGCAUUUGACUUUUCAUUGAAGGGUCGAAGCUGUGUAAGAACAUACCAAACAGAUGAAAGUCUAGGCUUUUAUUAGGCAAAUAUUCAUAAACUAGUAUCUUUUCAUUUUCCUCCAAGCAACAUGCAAGAAGUCUCACAAGGUUGCGAUGUUGCAGUUUAGCUAUAAGCAUUACUUCAUUAUCGAACUCCUCUGAGCCUUGACCAGAAAAUUGUGACAGCCUUUUAACUGCAAUUUGUCUUCCAUCAGGCAGAAUUCCCUGACAAACAUAGCGAUCAAUCAAUAAAAGCAUAUUGAAAGAUGAUAAAAAUAAUAAUCUAUAUCCAGAAUUCGAAAUCAUUAAAACCUUGUACACUGGGCCAAAUCCACCUUCCCCCAGUUUUGAUACUUCAGAGAAGUUACCAGUACUUUGUAGAAUUGUGAUUAAUGGGAUAGUAGGAAGGUCUGGAUUCAGUGUGUCCUCAGUUUGAAUAUUGUGAUAUGAUGAUAGACGAAUGGCACGAGCUAUCAGACCAUCUACAAAGUCAAGUUUGCGAGUUAUUAUGUGAACUAAAUAACCAGAUUUGCUAUGGGAUGGCAAGUAAGCCAUAAAAAAAAGUCAUGUAUUGUUCAGGGAAAUUACCUUUUCUAGUUCUACACCACCACCCAUAUACACUCAGACAUAGUAAAGUUAUUGACCCUGUCACACUGAAGCUAAUAAUCAAGAUUUUUGACCUGUUAUUACCCCCUUGCUUAGCUGUAACAGUAUAAAAGAAGAAUAAUUAAUUUUCCAGAGAAAUCAACUUCAAUAAAUAAACAAACAAGUAUUACCUUUGUCACAGAAAGUCACUACUAUUCCAAAUUACAAUACAACAAAUGAAAAAAGUGUUACUGUAAGAUCAAUGAAUCACCUAAUUUCGGAUUAGGCUCAGCAACUGAAGAUGUUUGGUAGAACAUAUGAUCAUCAUACUUUAUCGCACAACUUCCAGUCCAAACCACCCAUCCUAAUUUCUGUUCACGACAUUUGGCCACUUGGGCUAAUAUUGUCUCCAAACACUGUCUGCACCCUUCGUUUGUGAGAUCUCUAGAACAUUGCACCAAGCCAUAUCUUUUCUCUGUGGAACUCAAAUUGAAGACAUCCAUAUAAAACAACUGUCCCAUAAAAGCUCUCAUUGGAGUACCUUAUAACACAAAAAUCAUACCAAACCAUAGCAGAGACCCUGUUGGGGCAGUGCUGAGGGGCUUCCUUGGCAGCAAUGGAGACACAGAAUUGACAAAAGUAUCCAACCACAUCACCACGGCAAUCAUAGAGGCCAUACACAGGACUGGUUUUACCUAUACUUUUGUAGUUAUAACCUUUGCUUGUGGCUGCGUCUGACGAUGCCCAUCUGAGCAUGCCAUCAAGAUUUGUUUGGUAUACACUGCUGAGGGGUUCUUGGGUUGUGUUUUGGCAAUUACUUGCCAGAAAACUCGGUGUUUGUGCCUUCGUAACAUGUGGUCUGAAACUCAGCAGUAAGAAGAAACCAUAGCAUAUUGAUCUCAGUUGUAGAUUUUUUCCCACCAUAACUCUGCAGUUGCCUUAAUUAUUUGAUCAGAUAAUGCUUAUACCAAAAAUCAAAAACAUUAUGCCA